rnacentral:misc_RNA from 1 species
UUUCCGUAGGUGAACCUGCGGAAGGAUCAUUAACAAGAAGUGUUAUAUGGCACUUUUGUCACAAUCCAUCUCCCCGUUGUGUGCAACGUUAUGAGACCCUCUAUCGUUAGCUGUUAGGCUACCGAAGGGGGAACCUCUACAACUUACUAACAUCACCAUUAACUUAUUUGUCUGAAAAUUUGUUAUCACGAAUGAACUUAAUUCGAAAAUACAACUUUCAACAACGGAUCUCUUGGUUCUG